UUGACAAUUCAGUAGGGACCU
rnacentral:sRNA from 1 species